rnacentral:tRNA from 1 species
GGCUCGAUAGCUUAGUUGGUGAAUCAUUAGUCUAGCGCAUAAGGAUCGUGAGUUCAAAUUUCACUUGAGCUU